AGCCGGUACAUGCCAAGGUAUUGGGGCAGAAGAGUCUUGCCGUGACGCUCCACGAUAUACUGUAGGAAAAAAGGUAAUAUAGAAAACUUGUACGUUUUGGACUCGUAACAAAAUUUGGGCGGGCCAUAUAGCGCGCAUGGACAAGACCCGAUGGACGCGAAGAUUCCUCGAUUGGAGACCUCUAGACAGACAGAACAAAUGACUGCCGCGGCCAAGCAUGCAGAGAAAUGAAUGCUACGUAAAGAAAUUCCAUAGAAAGCUCCUCGAGAAAUAAUAAGUAGAGGCGUAGCGCAACAUAUUCAAGCGAACGUUUACGUCAUAGUACAAAAUUGUUUGCAGACUAAUAACACACAAUUAAAAUUCGCUUCCCUUCAAAACUUUGUAGAGUUGUACAAUACUUUUAUGUAUAGCAAUUUAUUUUUAAAAAUAAUGGUUACGCCCGUUCAUUAUUGUGUUAUUAAAUGACGCUAUAUCAUGUCAUUAGACUAGUUAAUUAGCUUAUUGAUAAGCCUCUAAAAUAUUCCUAUGCCUAAGAUUUCAACUUGUAUUAGUUGUAUAAAAUAAUAAUUGUUAAAUAUU